rnacentral:rRNA from 1 species
GUUCAUGGUCCACCACCCUGAACAAGCCCAAUGUCUAAUCUCAGAAGCUAAGCAGGGUCAGGCCUCGUUAGUACUUGGAUGGGAGACCAUCUAGGAAGACCAGGUGCUGUAGGCA